rnacentral:rRNA from 1 species
AAAAACAUGUCCUUUUGUUUUGUAUAUAAGGUCUAACCUGCCCUAUGAUUUUAUUUAAUGGCCGCGGUAUAUUAACUGUGCUAAGGUAGCAUAAUCAUUUGUCUUUUAAUUGAAGGCUAGUAUGAAUGGUUGGACGAGGCACAUGCUUUCUUUAAUUUAAUUAAUGAACUUAAUUUUUAAGUUAAAAAGCUUAAAUAGUUUUGAGGGACGAGAAGACCCUAUAGAUCUUUAUAUUUAAAUCUAUUAUUUAUUUUAGGGAGUUAAUUGUUUUAAUAGUUUUAUUUAUUUGGUUGGGGUGACUGUAGAAUAAAUAUAACUUCUAUUAUAUAUUUUCAUUAAUGAGUGUUUGUUUGAUCCAAAAUUUUUGAUUAGAAGAUUAAGUUACCUUAGGGAUAACAGCGUAAUUCUUUUGGAGAGUUCAUAUCGAUAAAUAGAGUUUGCGACCUCGAUGUUGGAUUAAAAUAAGUUUUAGGUGCAGAAGCUUAAAAACUAGGUCUGUUCGACCUUUAAUUUUUUACAUGAUCUGA